GACGAACGCUGGCGGCGUGCUUAACACAUGCAAGUCGAACGGAAAGGCCCUGCUUUUGUGGGGUGCUCGAGUGGCGAACGGGUGAGUAACACGUGAGUAACCUGCCCUUGACUUUGGGAUAACUUCAGGAAACUGGGGCUAAUACCGGAUAGGAGCUUCUGCUGCAUGGUGGGGGUUGGAAAGUUUCGGCGGUUGGGGAUGGACUCGCGGAUUAUCAGCUUGUUGGUGGGGUAGUGGCUUACCAAGACUUUGACGGGUAGCCGGUCAGAGAGGGUGACCGGCCACAAUGAGACUGAGAUGCGGCCCAGACUCCUUCUGGAGACAGCAGUGGGGAAUAUUGCACAGUGGGCGGAAGCCUGAGGCGGCGACGCCGCGUGCGGGAUAACGGCCUUCGGGUUGUAUUCCGCUUUCGCCUGUGACGAAGCGUGAGUGACGGUAAUGGGUAAAGAAGCACCGGCUAACUACGUG
rnacentral:rRNA from 1 species